rnacentral:rRNA from 1 species
UACGUAGGGUGCAAGCGUUGUCCGGAAUUAUUGGGCGUAAAGAGCUCGUAGGCGGUCUGUCGCGUCUGCUGUGAAAAUCCAGGGCUCAACCCUGGACCUGCAGUGGGUACGGGCAGACUAGAGUGCGGUAGGGGAGACUGGAAUUCCUGGUGUAGCGGUGAAAUGCGCAGAUAUCAGGAAGAACACCAAUGGCGAAGGCAGCUCUCUGGGACGGUACUGGACGCUGAGACGCGAAAGCGUCGGGGAGCAAACAGG